GUGGGGAAUAUUGGACAAUGGGGGGAACCCUGAUCCAGCCAUGCCGCGUGUGUGAAGAAGGCCUUUUGGUUGUAAAGCACUUUAAGUGGGGAGGAGGCUUACCUGGUUAAUACCUGGGCUAAGUGGACGUUACCCACAGAAUAAGCACCGGCUAACUCUGUGCCAGCAGCCGCGGUAAUACAGAGGGUGCAAGAGUUAAUCGGAUUUACUGGGCGUAAAGCGCGCGUAGGUGGUUAAUUAAGUCAAAUGUGAAAUCCCCGAGCUUAACUUGGGAAUUGCAUUCGAUACUGGUGAGCUAGAGUAUGGGAGAGGAUGGUAGAAUUCCAGGUGUAGCGGUGAAAUGCGUAGAGAUCUGGAGGAAUACCGAUGGCGAAGGCAGCCAUCUGGCCUAAUACUGACACUGAGGUGCGAAAGCAUGGGGAGCAAACAGGAUUAGAAACCCGGGUAGUCC
rnacentral:rRNA from 1 species